AUACGGAGGGGGCUAGCGUUGUUCGGAAUUACUGGGCGUAAAGCGCGCGUAGGCGGCUUAUCAAGUUAGGCGUGAAAGGCCUGGGCUCAACCCGGGAACUGCGCUUAAUACUGGUAGACUUGAGUCCGGGAGAGGGUGGCGGAAUUCCCAGUGUAGAGGUGAAAUUCGUAGAUAUUAGGAAGAACACCGGUGGCGAAGGCGGCUGCCUGGCCCGGUACUGACGCUCAGGUGCGAAAGCGUGGGGAGCAAACAGGAUUAGAAACCCCAGUAGUCC
rnacentral:rRNA from 1 species